rnacentral:rRNA from 1 species
UUAAGUUAUUAAGGGCGCACGGUGGAUGCCUUGGCACUAGAAGCCGAUGAAGGACGUUACUAACGACGAUAUGCUUUGGGGAGCUGUAAGUAAGCUUUGAUCCAGAGAUUUCCGAAUGGGGAAACCCAGCAUGAGUUAUGUCAUGUUAUCGAUAUGUGAAUACAUAGCAUAUCAGAAGGCACACCCGGAGAACUGAAACAUCUUAGUACCCGGAGGAAGAGAAAGAAAAUUCGAUUCCCUUAGUAGCGGCGAGCGAAACGGGAAGAGCCCAAACCAAAAAGCUUGCUUGUUGGGGUUGUAGGACACUCUAUACGGAGUUACAAAGGACGACAUUAGACGAAUCAUCUGGAAAGAUGAAUCAAAGAAGGUAAUAAUCCUGUAGUCGAAAAUGUUGUCUCUCUUGAGUGGAUCCUGAGUACGACGGAGCACGUGAAAUUCCGUCGGAAUCUGGGAGGACCAUCUCCUAAGGCUAAAUACUCUCUAGUGACCGAUAGUGAACCAGUACCGUGAGGGAAAGGUGAAAAGCACCCCGGAAGGAGAGUGAAAUAGAACCUGAAACCGUGUGCUUACAAGUAGUCAGAGCCCGUUAAUGGGUGAUGGCGUGCCUUUUGUAGAAUGAACCGGCGAGUUACGAUUUGAUGCAAGGUUAAGCAGUAAAUGUGGAGCCGUAGCGAAAGCGAGUCUGAAUAGGGCGUUUAGUAUUUGGUCGUAGACCCGAAACCAGGUGAUCUACCCUUGGUCAGGUUGAAGUUCAGGUAACACUGAAUGGAGGACCGAACCGACUUACGUUGAAAAGUGAGCGGAUGAACUGAGGGUAGCGGAGAAAUUCCAAUCGAACCUGGAGAUAGCUGGUUCUCUCCGAAAUAGCUUUAGGGCUAGCCUCAAGUGAUGAUUAUUGGAGGUAGAGCACUGUUUGGACGAGGGGCCCCUCUCGGGUUACCGAAUUCAGACAAACUCCGAAUGCCAAUUAAUUUAACUUGGGAGUCAGAACAUGGGUGAUAAGGUCCGUGUUCGAAAGGGAAACAGCCCAGACCACCAGCUAAGGUCCCAAAAUAUAUGUUAAGUGGAAAAGGAUGUGGCGUUGCCCAGACAACUAGGAUGUUGGCUUAGAAGCAGCCAUCAUUUAAAGAGUGCGUAAUAGCUCACUAGUCGAGUGACACUGCGCCGAAAAUGUACCGGGGCUAAACAUAUUACCGAAGCUGUGGAUUGUCCUUUGGACAAUGGUAGGAGAGCGUUCUAAGGGCGUUGAAGCAUGAUCGUAAGGACAUGUGGAGCGCUUAGAAGUGAGAAUGCCGGUGUGAGUAGCGAAAGACGGGUGAGAAUCCCGUCCACCGAUUGACUAAGGUUUCCAGAGGAAGGCUCGUCCGCUCUGGGUUAGUCGGGUCCUAAGCUGAGGCCGACAGGCGUAGGCGAUGGAUAACAGGUUGAUAUUCCUGUACCACCUAUAAUCGUUUUAAUCGAUGGGGGGACGCAGUAGGAUAGGCGAAGCGUGCGAUUGGAUUGCACGUCUAAGCAGUAAGGCUGAGUAUUAGGCAAAUCCGGUACUCGUUAAGGCUGAGCUGUGAUGGGGAGAAGACAUUGAGUCUUCGAGUCGUUGAUUUCACACUGCCGAGAAAAGCCUCUAGAUAGAAAAUAGGUGCCCGUACCGCAAACCGACACAGGUAGUCAAGAUGAGAAUUCUAAGGUGAGCGAGCGAACUCUCGUUAAGGAACUCGGCAAAAUGACCCCGUAACUUCGGGAGAAGGGGUGCUCUUUAGGGUUAACGCCCAGAAGAGCCGCAGUGAAUAGGCCCAAGCGACUGUUUAUCAAAAACACAGGUCUCUGCUAAACCGUAAGGUGAUGUAUAGGGGCUGACGCCUGCCCGGUGCUGGAAGGUUAAGAGGAGUGGUUAGCUUCUGCGAAGCUACGAAUCGAAGCCCCAGUAAACGGCGGCCGUAACUAUAACGGUCCUAAGGUAGCGAAAUUCCUUGUCGGGUAAGUUCCGACCCGCACGAAAGGCGUAACGAUUUGGGCACUGUCUCAACGAGAGACUCGGUGAAAUCAUAGUACCUGUGAAGAUGCAGGUUACCCGCGACAGGACGGAAAGACCCCGUGGAGCUUUACUGUAGCCUGAUAUUGAAAUUCGGCACAGCUUGUACAGGAUAGGUAGGAGCCUUUGAAACGUGAGCGCUAGCUUACGUGGAGGCGCUGGUGGGAUACUACCCUAGCUGUGUUGGCUUUCUAACCCGCACCACUUAUCGUGGUGGGAGACAGUGUCAAGCGGGCAGUUUGACUGGGGCGGUCGCCUCCUAAAAGGUAACGGAGGCGCUCAAAGGUUCCCUCAGAAUGGUUGGAAAUCAUUCAUAGAGUGUAAAGGCAUAAGGGAGCUUGACUGCGAGACCUACAAGUCGAGCAGGGUCGAAAGACGGACUUAGUGAUCCGGUGGUUCCGCAUGGAAGGGCCAUCGCUCAACGGAUAAAAGCUACCCCGGGGAUAACAGGCUUAUCUCCCCCAAGAGUUCACAUCGACGGGGAGGUUUGGCACCUCGAUGUCGGCUCAUCGCAUCCUGGGGCUGUAGUCGGUCCCAA